GAUCUGGCUCAGGAUGAACGCUGGCGGCGUGCUUAACACAUGCAAGUCGAACGAAGCACUUUAUUUGAUUUCCUUCGGGACUGAUUAUUUUGUGACUGAGUGGCGGACGGGUGAGUAACGCGUGGGUAACCUGCCUUGUACAGGGGGAUAACAGUUGGAAACGGCUGCUAAUACCGCAUAAGCGCACGGCAUCGCAUGAUGCAGUGUGAAAAACUCCGGUGGUAUAAGAUGGACCCGCG
rnacentral:rRNA from 1 species